rnacentral:rRNA from 1 species
GACGAACGCUGGCGGCGUGCCUAACACAUGCAAGUCGAACGGAGUUAGAACUUCGGUUUUAACUUAGUGGCGAACGGGUGAGUAACGCGUGAGAAACCUACCUUUCAGUGGGGGACAACAGUUGGAAACGACUGCUAAUACCGCAUAAUGUAGCGACGGGGCAUCCCGAUGCUACCAAAGAUUUAUUGCUGAAAGAUGGUCUCGCGUCUGAUUAGCUAGUUGGUGAGGUAACGGCUCACCAAGGCGACGAUCAGUAGCCGGUCUGAGAGGAUGAACGGCCACAUUGGGACUGAGAUACGGCCCAG